ensembl:lncRNA
AAGUGGUUGCCGAGCAACACACAGACAUAGCAAUAUACAAAUAUACAAUAUUUCAUGGCGCAGUUUGUUUGUAGAGUUAUUUACAACAGCUUCGAAUGUGGCCCAUCAAUCAGAAUCAAGGACUAGAACUAUCCGUUUUAUAACAUGAUUUCAUAUUCUCUAAGCUGCGAAUUCUUCAAAGAUCACAAUCCUGAAUCUGCUUCCUAUUGUGUUUCAGAUUUAGGUCAAAUAUUCAUCCUUGGAGGCUUUUUCUGUACAAACAUGUUUACUCAGUCUUAUCUCGUUGCAUUUCAGGUUUAGUUCAAUGUUUCUGUCAGAUAUAAGGCAUACAGAAUAUCAAAGACCAAGGUCAGUAUUUCUCAAAAGGCUUUUCAUGUAAUCUCAUACAGUACAUACAGAUGUAUUGUUAAACAUGUUUGUGCUUAACACACAUGGUCUUUUUCUGUUGUAGGCGACAUUACUCUCCAGGAGAUAUGCAUAGCAAUGAGGUGGUGAACAGGCCUCUACAGAUUCCUGACAGAAUCACGUAUCCUCUACUGAAUGCUGAGGGUGAGGAGAGGUUUCCUGUGUACAAAUCUCGCACUCACCGUAUGGACAUGACAUCGGAGGAAGAGCUCGGGGCCUCUGGGAGACGAGAGCCUUACCUGAGGAGGGACAGAGUUUUAGGAGAUACGAUGAACCCUGAAGGAACCACACAAGCUAAUUUUAAGGUAUGUAUGUAUGUUAACAUAUAACGAUGUUCAGCCCUAAAAUUUGAUUGCAUGAGCCAGAUUCUGAGCUCCCAUAAAAUUGCCUAUAUAUGCAUGUCACAUAAAUUCUAUAUUAAUUCUUUCCCCACCACUGACGAGUUUUCAUCUUUUAGAAGACAACGCUUCCCUGCCAAAGACAAGUUUUUAUGGCUUUUCGUGUUUUCACUGUUACACACUUGGGGGCGCUAUUGAACAUCUUCUGAACGAGUACAAAACCUCCCGAACGAUUACAUUUUUUUUUAAAGUAGAGGAUCUGAUCUUUAUUUUGGUGUAUUGAAUAUUCAAAUAUUCAUACAGCAAAAUAUACUGGAGGCCAUCACAUUUUAGUGAAAAUCAUCAAAAUCGCUGGUUGGCAAUGGUUGGCAACUUUUUUUGUUUUUUUUUUAAAUGCUGGUGGGGAAAGAGUUCAUAUGAUAUUAUUAUGUAAUUGAAUCUAAACAAAUUCUGUACUGAUGAAUUCAAUUAUUCAUUAUUCAUCCUUCCAAGUCAUUAUUCAUGACAACAAAGAUUCAUUUGUAGCAGAUCUAUACAGGUGGAGCUGGGAAAGGUGGAGAGCAGGGUUGCCUUGUUUUCGUAACAAAACCCGCCCAAUUUCUACUCAAGCCUAGCCCAAUCGUGCCCAAUCGUGUUUCAAGGGGGGUCCCCCCUCGUGUGCUGCAACUUCUACCACAAGCAAUAAAUAAGUAUUUGAAUGUUGAGCA